rnacentral:rRNA from 1 species
UACAGAGGGUGCGAGCGUUAAUCGGAAUUACUGGGCGUAAAGAGUACGUAGGCCGAUACUUAAGUCAUAUGUGAAAGCCCUGGGCUUAACCUAGGAAUUGCAUCUGAAACUGGGUAUCUAGAGUAUGGUAGAGGACAGUGGAAUUUCUGGUGUAGCGGUGAAAUGCGUAGAUAUCAGAAGGAACACCAGUGGCGAAGGCGACUGUCUGGGCCAAUACUGACGCUGAGGUACGAAAGCGUGGGUAGCGAACAGG